GUGAAUUCACCCUUCCUCAGCCUUUUUGUUCUAUUCAGGCCCUCCAUGGAUUAAGUGAUGCUUGCUCACUUUGAGGAGGGCAGGUCUGUACUCAGUCCACUGACUCAAAUGUUAAUCUCUUCCAGAGACACCCUCAUAGACACAUGCAGAAAUGAUGUUUUAUCAGCUAUCUAGGCAACCCUUCCUUAGUGCAGUCAAGUUGACACCUAAAACUAAACAUCAUAAGCAGGGAAGAUGGUGUGGGAGGUGAGAUGUAUGUCUGUGAGCAGAAGCUGGGUGGGUCUCUGCAUGAACAUGUAGGUACGGGUGCAAGCAUGUGGGAGCUGCUGGUGGCAAAACUCAACAGAAGCAACUCAUAUUUAGGAAGUGAAUCAGAUGUCCCAUCCUCUGAGCCUGUGAUAUUUCAUGAUCUGGAACAAUAAAACACUCUCAGAGCAAGAUGUAUAAUAAAAAGCUAAAUUUUCAAGUA
rnacentral:lncRNA from 1 species